rnacentral:rRNA from 1 species
GACGAACGCUGGCGGCGUGCUUAACACAUGCAAGUCGAACGGAAAGGCCCUGCUUUUGUGGGGUGCUCGAGUGGCGAACGGGUGAGUAACACGUGAGUAACCUGCCCUUGACUUUGGGAUAACUUCAGGAAACUGGGGCUAAUACCGGAUAGGAGCUCCUGCUGCAUGGUGGGGGUUGGAAAGUUUCGGCGGUUGGGGAUGGACUCGCGGCUUAUCAGCUUGUUGGUGGGGUAGUGGCUUACCAAGGCUUCGACGGGUAGCCGGCCUGAGAGGGUGACCGGCCACAUUGGGACUGAGAUACGGCCCAGACUCCUACGGGAGGCAGCAGUGGGGAAUAUUGCACAAUGGGCGGAAGCCUGAUGCAGCAACGCCGCGUGCGGGAUGACGGCCUUCGGGUUGUAAACCGCUUUCGCCUGUGACGAAGCGUGAGUGACGGUAAUGGGUAAAGAAGCACCGGCUAACUACG